rnacentral:lncRNA from 1 species
AUGACAGAUUUAGUCCUCUCUCUCUCCCCAGGAGCAAAAGCAGACCUAAUUUCUUUCUCUCGAUUAGACUCUUGGUUUAGUCAUCCAUCAGCUAUAUGCGUGCUUGCUCUUCCUCUCUCACUCACCUGCAGGAUACUAUUUCAUGAAGCCCUCACACCAUCCAGUAAAGCUAUUUGUACAGAAACACAGAUAACCUCACUAGCAGAAUAGACUGAACUGACUUGAAGGUAUUCCAUGGAUCUCUAGUUAAGGCCUGGUAAGAGCUGAAAUGAAACAAGAAAACUAGAACCAGAAAAAGAAUGGAUUUGGAUAACAUCAGUUGCAGUUGAUUAAGCAAUUACAGUUUGUCUGAUGAAGAUGUAAAAGUGAUGGAGAAAACUGGAGUGAAUGUUAAAGCCCAAGUUCCAGGCUUGGUUCUGCAUUCAGUACAAAUCUGGCUACUUCAAAUGUUUACUGGAGUCAAUAGGAUUUCUUGAAUAAACUGGACUUUCUUAUUAGUACACUUGGAUUUAACAUUAACAAACUCGGAUACCUUUGGUAAGCUGCCUUUUCUUCCUAGGCUUUAGUCUGCUCAUCACUAAAAUAGCGUUAAGAAUAGUACAUAAGCUACUGUUGAACAGUGGAUUGAAGCUACAAUGAAAUUACUCAAUAAAUGUUAACUAUGUUACUAUCACCAUAAUGCCUGUUAUUAUUACCGUCUUUAACAUCCAUCAAAUAUCCUCUCAGAGAUUUCUGUCAUACAUUAAAAUUUAGAACAAGUCAGAAAAAUUCUUCUCUCAAAUUUAAAAGUUUUAAAUUGGUACUAUUUAUAUGUUUCCCAAACUAGAAAUAUGAACACAGUUUUCAAUUCCUUUUUCAUUCCUUUCCACAUAUAGAGGUCAUUCUUAUUGAAAUCUGUCUUCAAAAUCACUCUUGAAUCUUCCUGUACUAUUUUAUUUAGACUCCUAAUAUUAGAUGAUGAAUAUUCUCAGUCUUUAAGAAGCAAAUAACAAAAACCUCACCCUUGAUCUUCCAGCUGCCACACUAUGUAUCUGCUCCUCUUCACAACAAAUGUCCUAAAAAUGUCAUUUUUAAUCACCAGUUCUAUCGCCCACCUUCUAGUUUCUCUUGAACAAAUGACUCUCAUGCUCUUAUCUACCAUUCCACUGAAAUAGUUCUUAUCAGGGUCACCACAAUCUCCCUGAUGCAAAGUCUAAUGGCUAAUAUUCGGUUCUAAUCCUGACACACAGAAGGUGUUCAAUAACUUUUAGUUCAAUGAAAAACUUUUGUCAUUUGCUAUUACAAUUUUUGUGCUUACAGACUUGGAUCCUCCACUAGACCAUGGGUACCCAGAGGGUACAGACUAUGAUUUAUUUCAAAUUUAAGAAGCACAGUGCCUGGCACAAGUAUACACUCAAGAAAUGUUGCCUGAAAAAAACGGUUUUUUUAAAUAAUAAAGUUUCAUUUCAUUCAUACAUUAAAGUAUCACAUUAUUCUACAUAAACUUGCUGUCAAAUGUGCUUCCUCUCCCUUUCCAAAUCU